CCUACGGGGGGCAGCAGUGAGGAAUAUUGGUCAAUGGGCGCGAGCCUGAACCAGCCAAGUCGCGUGAAGGAUGACUGCCCUACGGGUUGUAAACUUCUUUUAUAAAGGAAUAAAGUGAGGCACGUGUGUCUUUUUGUAUGUACUUUAUGAAUAAGGCUCCGCGAACUCUGUGCCAGCAGCAGCGGUAAUACGGAGGUUCCGAGCGUUAUCCGGUUUUAUUGGGUUUAAAGGGAGCGUAGAUGGGUGGUUAAGUCAGUUGUGAAAGUUUGCGGCUCAACCGUAAAAUUGCAAUUGAUACUGGCAGUCUUGAGUACAGUAGAGGUAGGCGGAAUUCGUGGUGUAGCGGUGAAAUGCGUAGAUAUCACGAAGAACACCGAUUGCGAAGGCAGCUUACUAGACUGCCACUGACAUUGAGGCUCGAAAGUGUGGGGAUCAAACAGGAUUAGAUACCCUUGUAGUC
rnacentral:rRNA from 1 species